UUUCAAAUUUACAUACAUUUUCCUCCUUUUGCCAAAUUGGUCAAUUAAUUUUAACCAUAUAGAGGCAGGUGGUUGAACGUACAAAUACAAUUCAAAGAACAAAA